rnacentral:rRNA from 1 species
CACCUACGGGAGGCUGCAGUAGGGAAUAUUGGGCAAUGGGCGCAAGCCUGACCCAGCCAUGCCGCGUGAAGGACGAAGGUGCUCAGCAUUGUAAACUUCUUUUCUCCGAGAAUAAGGGCUUUGUAACUCAAGGCAUUGAAGGUAUCGGAGGAAUAAGCACCGGCAAACUACGUGCCAGCAGCCGCGGUAAUACGUAGGGUGCAAGCGUUGUCCGGAUUUACUGGGUUUAAAGGGUGCGUAGGCGGUUUGAUCAGUCGGUGAUGAAAUGCAGGAGCUCAACUCCUCGCGCUGUUACCGAUACUGUCAGACUUGAGGAUGAGCGAGGUAGCUGGAAUGAGUGGUGUAGCGGUGAAAUGCGUAGAGAUCACUCAGAACACCAAUUGCGAAGGCAGGUUACUGGCUCAUAUCUGACGCUGAGGCACGAAGGCGUGGGGAUCAAACAGGAUUAGAUACCCUGGUAGUCCACGCAGUAAACGAUGGAUACUCGAUGUUGGGGCUUCGGCUUCAGUGUCUAAGCGAAAGUGAUAA